CCCAAAUGCAGAGAGCUGACUAAUUUUUUUAAAAUUUCUUCUCUGCUAUGUUGUGUUUUCCCUGUGUAUCUGCUUCAGUCCCAGAGAUGUCAGCACAAGAUAUUAAAAAGGGGACUCUAACUACAAUUUCAGUUUCACUCUGUGAACUUGCUUUGCAUUCUCCAUGUAGAGGCUCACCUGUGAGAUAAAAGUUGCAGUGGUGGACAAUCACUUCUCCAGAUGAGAAAGAACUUUCAAGAACCAGCAAAGAAAACAUGUCAAAACUCGAAAUUCUGAAGAGCUAGCCCAUCCAGGCAGAGCUACAGGAUUACAGUUAAAAAUCAUGAAGAGAAGCCAUGCAAUGAAAGUCAAGACCUGAGUGGGACUCCAUGAUGCAACUGUGAAAAGCUCCUUAAAAACAGGAACUAUGGGCAGCUUUCAGACUUGAGAACCUCUGCAGUUUGGAUGAAUGGUGAUGUCAGCGAGGCCAGGAUUUGGCCCCGGAAAACCUCUAGUGUUACCAAGCUUAGCGGAGCUGCU